GUGUCAGCCGCCGCGGUAAUACGUAGGGCGCAAGCGUUGUCCGGAUUUAUUGGGCGUAAAGAGCUCGUAGGUGGUUAGUCGCGUCUGCUGUGAAAUCUCGAGGCUUAACCUCGAGCUUGCAGUGGGUACGGGCUGACUAGAGUGCGGUAGGGGAGACUGGAAUUCCUGGUGUAGCGGUGGAAUGCGCAGAUAUCAGGAGGAACACCGAUGGCGAAGGCAGGUCUCUGGGCCGUAACUGACACUGAGGAGCGAAAGCGUGGGGAGCGAACAGGAUUAGAUACCCUCGUAGUCC
rnacentral:rRNA from 1 species